rnacentral:tRNA from 1 species
GGGCAGAUGGCCGAGCGGUCUAAGGCGCCACGUUUAGGCCGUGGUCUCUUCGGAGGCGUGGGUUCGAACCCCACUCUGCUCA